rnacentral:rRNA from 1 species
GCUUCCCUCUUUCUUCGUGCUUAAUACAUGCAAGUCGAGCGAACGGACGAGAAGCUUGCUUCUCUGAUGUUAGCGGCGGACGGGUGAGUAACACGUGGAUAACCUACCUAUAAGACUGGGAUAACUUCGGGAAACCGUAGCUAAUACCGGAUAAUAUUUUGAACCGCAUGGUUCAAAAGUGAAAGACGGUCUUGCUGUCACUUAUAGAUGGAUCCGCGCUGCAUUAGCUAGUUGGUAAGGUAACGGCUUACCAAGGCAACGAUGCAUAGCCGACCUGAGAGGGUGAACGGCCACAGUGAGAGUGAGACGCGGUCCAGACUCCUACAGGAGGCAGCAGUAGGGAAUCUUCCGCGAUGGGCGAAAGCCUGACGGAGCGACGCCGCGUGAGUGAUGAAGGUCUUCGGAUCGUAAGACUCUGUUAUUAGGGAAGAACAUAUGUGUAAGUAACUGUGCACAUCUUGACGGUACCUAAUCAGAAAGCAACGGCUAACUACGUG